rnacentral:lncRNA from 1 species
GCGCCAGGGUUUUAUUCCCUUUUCACAAAUGGGGGCUUGGAGCCAGGCCUCUGGCCCCAGGGUGCAGGUGGAGCCGCCUCCUGCCCUAGAAAAGAGAGCGCUGCCCCCUUCGCCUCCCCCCGAGCUGGGGAGGCACGUGGCCGAUCCUUGAAGCCCUGGAGAGUUUUGUUUCCUAACGGGAGGCCUCUGCUUCCAGAGACGACCUUUAAGGGGGCACAGGGGGCUUUGAAGUCCCCCCCCCCUUUGCAUCCUAAGGCGCUUUGUAGCCUGCCUGCUUAGCUCCUGACCGGUUUCCUAAUCAGAUUCCCUCCCUGGCGUGAUGCUGGAGGCUGAUGGACAGCCCAGCACUGGGAUAAAUAUUUGAUGAGGGGGCCAUUAGCAGCCGGCGGCCUGGGGGUGGGCAGCUGCUCUCCAGCGGGAAGGGGGGGCUUCAUGUCAUUUUACCCUGUUCCCCGUGGGGACCCUUCCCUUGGAUGGUCAUGGGAGUCGGGUGCGGCACCCCCACCCUGGCCAUGCCUGUGCACCUGUUGGGGCCUCGGGCGCUGUUCCUGAGAGGGUGGGUCGGCGGGGGUGCGAUGUGGGGGAGAAAGCCCUCCCCCAGGAGUGUCUGCUGGCGGACCAUCAUCCCCCAUCCAGCCUUGCAUGGCUAUACCAGAGCCCCCUUCAUCCCCAAGGCCGGUCAGGCAUCCGUGGAAAUCCUCGAACCAAACAAGCUGGGUGGGUGACCCCCAGAAAGCGCAGCACUGCCCCUUGGCCUCCCACCUGAGCAGGUAUCUCUCAGGUGCUGUGCUUGUGCCCAGCACUCUGCUGGGGCCGGGGGACGGCCGACGUUGCCGGGGGACUCGCCGAGGGCUUUCCCGAACCUUCCUCUCAUCGCUCCGUGACGUGUCACCCGCCGCUCUCUCUGUUUCCCCGGGACCGGGGUCUGAGGUGUCUCAGACUUGACCAGGAGCACGUCUGGGAGGGAGGGGCGGGCCUCGCCCCCCCCCCGCUGCCUCCGUUAAGCCCGUGAUGGAAGAUGGUGUGCGAAACUGUGUGUGAGUGACGGGGCCACCGUGCUGGGCGGCCGAAGUCAGCAGAACAGCGCAGACCAACUCUAAUUAAAGAAUCAAGACCAAAAAAAAAAAAAA